UGAGAGUGGCGCACGGGUGCGUAACGCGUGAGCAACCUACCCAUAUCAGGGGGAUAGCCUCUCGAAAGAGAGAUUAACACCGCAUAACAUCAUUUACCGGCAUCGGUUUUUGAUCAAAUAUUUAUAGGAUAUGGAUGGGCUCGCGUGACAUUAGCUAGUUGGAGAGGUAACGGCUCACCAAGGCUACGAUGUCUAGGGGCUCUGAGAGGAGAAUCCCCCACACUGGUACUGAGACACGGACCAGACUCCUACGGGAGGCAGCAGUAAGGAAUAUUGGUCAAUGGAGGCAACUCUGAACCAGCCAUGCCGCGUGCAGGAUGACUGCCCUAUGGGUUGUAAACUGCUUUUGUCAGGGAAUAAACCUUUCUACGUGUAGGAAGCUGAAUGUACCUGAAGAAUAAGGAUCGGCUAACUCCGUGCCAGCAGCCGCGGUAAUACGGAGGAUCCAAGCGUUAUCCGGAUUUAUUGGGUUUAAAGGGUGCGUAGGCGGUCCUAUAAGUCAGUGGUGAAAGACGGCAGCUUAACUGUCGCAGUGCCUUUGAUACUGUAGGACUUGAAUCUAUUUGAAGUGGGCGGAAUAAGACAAGUAGCGGUGAAAUGCAUAGAUAUGUCUUAGAACUCCGAUUGCGAAGGCAGCUCACUAAGUUAGUAUUGACGCUGAUGCACGAAAGCGUGGGGAUCAAACAGGAUUAGAUACCCUGGUAGUCCACGCCCUAAACGAUGAUAACUCGAUGUUUGCGAUACACAGUAAGCGUCCAAGCGAAAGCGUUAAGUUAUCCACCUGGGGAGUACGGUCGCAAGAUUGAAACUCAAAGGAAUUGACGGGGGCCCGCACAAGCGGAGGAGCAUGUGGUUUAAUUCGAUGAUACGCGAGGAACCUUACCCGGGCUUGAAAGUUAGUGAAUGAUCC
rnacentral:rRNA from 1 species